GACGAACGCUGGCGGCGUGCCUAAUACAUGCAAGUUGAGCGCUGAAGGUUGGUACUUGUACCAACUGGAUGAGCAGCGAACGGGUGAGUAACGCGUGGGGAAUCUGCCUUUGAGCGGGGGACAACAUUUGGAAACGAAUGCUAAUACCGCAUAAAAACUUUAAACACAAGUUUUAAGUUUGAAAGAUGCAAUUACAUCACUCAAAGAUGAUCCCGCGUUGUAUUAGCUAGUUGGUGAGGUAAAGGCUCACCAAGGCGAUGAUACAUAGCCGACCUGAGAGGGUGAUCGGCCAAAUUGGGACUGAGACACGGCCCAAACUCCUACGGGAGGCAGCAGUAGGGAAUCUUCGGCAAUGGACGAAAGUCUGACCGAGCAACGCCGCGUGAGUGAAGAAGGUUUUCGGAUCGUAAAACUCUGUUGGUAGAGAAGAACGUUGGUGAGAGUGGAAAGCUCAUCAAGUGACGGUAACUACCCAGAAGGGGACGGCUAACUACGUG
rnacentral:rRNA from 1 species